AACGAACGCUGGCGGCAUGCCUAACACAUGCAAGUCGAACGAGAUCUUCGGGUCUAGUGGCGCACGGGUGCGUAACGCGUGGGAAUCUGCCCUUUGGUUCGGAAUAACAGUUGGAAACGACUGCUAAUACCGGAUGAUGACGAAAGUCCAAAGAUUUAUCGCCAGAGGAAGAGCCCGCGUAGGAUUAGCUAGUUGGUGAGGUAAAGGCGCACCAAGGCGACGAUCCUUAGCUGGUCUGAGAGGAUGAUCAGCCACACUGGGACUGAGACACGGCCCAGACUCCUACGGGAGGAAGCAGUGGGGAAUAUUGGACAAUGGGCGAAAGCCUGAUCCAGCAAUGCCGCGUGAGUGAUGAAGGCCUUAGGUUUGUAAAGCUCUUUUACCCGGGAUGAUAGUGACAGUACCGGGAGAAUAAGCUCCGGCUAACUCCGUGCCAGCCGCCGCAGUAA
rnacentral:rRNA from 1 species